ACACUGAUGGUGAAACGGUAUCAUGCUUGCCUUCCAUUUCCGCUUAGCAAGCGGCGCGGGUUCGACUCCCGCUCAGUGUA